GAUGAACGCUGGCGGCGUGCCUAAUACAUGCGAGUCGAGCGAACGGACGAGAAGCUUGCUUCUCUGAUGUUAGCGGCGGACGGGUGAGUAGCACGUGGAUAACCUACCUAUAAGACUGGGAUAACUUCGGGAAACCGGAGCUAAUACCGGAUAAUAUUUUGAACCGCAUGGUUCAAAAGUGAAAGACGGUCUUGCUGUCACUUAUAGAUGGAUCCGCGCUGCAUUAGCUAGUUGGUAAGGUAACGGCUUACCAAGGCAACGAUGCAUAGCCGACCUGAGAGGGUGAUCGGCCACACUGGAACUGAGACACGGUCCAGACUCCUACGGGAGGCAGCAGUAGGGAAUCUUCCGCAAUGGGCGAAAGCCUGACGGAGCAACGCCGCGUGAGUGAUGAAGGUCUUCGGAUCGUAAAACUCUGUUAUUAGGGAAGAACAUAUGUGUAAGUAACUGUGCACAUCUUGACGGUACCUAAUCAGAAAGCCACGGCUAACUACGUG
rnacentral:rRNA from 1 species